rnacentral:rRNA from 1 species
AUUGAACGCUGGCGGCAUGCUUUACACAUGCAAGUCGAACGGUAACAGGUUAAGCUGAUGAGUGGCGAACGGGUGAGUAAUGCAUCGGAACGUGCCCGGUCGUGGGGGAUAACGCAGCGAAAGCUGCGCUAAUACAGCAUACGAUCUGAGGAUGAAAGCGGGGGACCGUAAGGCCGCGCCCGAUCGGAACGGCCGAUGUCAGAUUAGGUAGUAGGUGGGGUAAAGGCUCACCAAGCCAACGAUCUGUAGCUGGUCUGAGAGGAGGACCAGCCACACUGGGACGGAGACACGGCCCAGACUCCUACGGGAGGCAGCAGUGGGGAAUUUUGGACAAUGGGCGAAAGCCUGAUCCAGCAAUGCCGCAUGCAGGAAGAAGGCCUUCGGGUUGUAAACUGCUUUUGUACGGAGCGAAAAGGUCUCCUCUAAUACAGGGGGCUCAUGAAGGUACCGUAAGAAUAAGCACCGGCUAACUACGUGCCAGCCGCCGCCGUAA